AAGUAGUAGGGAGCUGAUGCCACUCUCCUAAUGAGGCCAUAGCAGGCCGAAACCAAUU
rnacentral:hammerhead_ribozyme from 15 species